rnacentral:rRNA from 1 species
GAUGAACGCUGGCGGCGUGCCUAAUACAUGCAAGUCGAGCGAACAGAUGAGGAGCUUGCUCCUCUGACGUUAGCGGCGGACGGGUGAGUAACACGUGGAUAACCUACCUAUAAGACUGGGAUAACUUCGGGAAACCGGAGCUAAUACCGGAUAAUAUAUUGAACCGCAUGGUUCAAUAGUGAAAGACGGUUUUGCUGUCACUUAUAGAUGGAUCCGCGCCGCAUUAGCUAGUUGGUAAGGUAACGGCUUACCAAGGCAACGAUGCGUAGCCGACCUGAGAGGGUGAUCGCCCACACUGGAACUGAGACACGGUCCAGACUCCUACGGGAGGCAGCAGUAGGGAAUCUUCCGCAAUGGGCGAAAGCCUGACGGAGCAACGCCGCGUGAGUGAUGAAGGUCUUCGGAUCGUAAAACUCUGUUAUUAGGGAAGAACAAAUGUGUAAGUAACUAUGCACGUCUUGACGGUACCUAAUCAGAAAGCCACGGCUAACUACGUG